rnacentral:rRNA from 1 species
GACGAACGCUGGCGGCGUGCCUAAUACAUGCAAGUAGAACGCACAGUUUAUACCGUAGCUUGCUACACCAUAGACUGUGAGUUGCGAACGGGUGAGUAACGCGUAGGUAACCUGCCUGGUAGCGGGGGAUAACUAUUGGAAACGAUAGCUAAUACCGCAUAAUAUUGAUUAUUGCAUGAUAAUUGAUUGAAAGAUGCUAUUGCAUCACUACCAGAUGGACCUGCGUUGUAUUAGCUAGUAGGUGAGGUAACGGCUCACCUAGGCGACGAUACAUAGCCGAACGGAGAGGGCGGUCGGCCACACUGGGACUGGGACACGGCCCAGACUCCUAGGGGAGGCAGCAGUAGGGCAUCUUCGGCAAUGGACGAAAGUCUGACCGAGCAACGCCGCGUGAGUGAAGAAGGUUUUCGGAUCGUAAAGCUCUGUUGUAAGAGAAGAACGGGUGUGAGAGUGGAAAGUUCACACUGUGACGGUAUCUUACCAGAAAGGGACGGCUAACUACGUG